AUGUUCGGAGUAUUAAUUACUCCACGCGCCGCUGGCCCGGCGAGGACUAGCAGAAGGGGACGGGAGGUUAAGACAAAGACUCCGACUGAUCAAACGGCUGCAGCGCCCUUCCUCGGAGGUUACAGCUCUGUCCUGGGAGCUGGACGAGCGAAGAGACUCCGGGGUGACCCAGCGGCUAGCCUUCCGGGGCCUAACGCGCUGCACACGUUCACGACCCAGCAUCCUUCUAUCCCAGCCAAAGCAGCCCUGUCUACGCCCCAGUCACAUCGUGCACACUUCUACUCUCAGCUGUGCCUCUGCCUCUCUGAACCACCUUGCCUUCAGAAGUUCCUUGAAUCUGUCAAAAGCCAGCUGAAGCCAUCUUCCUUCACGAAGCCGCCCCUGAAUUCUCCAGCUUUCCUGGGCCUGGUCUCUCCAUUUGAUUAGGGCACUGUGAGGCACUGCUUCUCACCUGAGAACUUAAAAAUAAUGCAGCCAACAAUGUUUUACAAGACAGCAUUCCAAGAACAGACCACCAAGGUCAGUGCGUAAUGGUGCAGAGCA
rnacentral:lncRNA from 1 species